ACCCGCUGAAUUUAAGCAUAUAAGUAAGUGGUGGAAAUUAAACCAAAUGGGAUAUCUUUAGUAAUUGCGAAUGAACAAGGAUAUGCUUAGCUUGACAAAUGGAGCUAUUGGCUUUGAAUUGUAUUGUGGAAAUGUAUUACCAACAGAGGUGCAGGUGCCAGCCUAUUGAAAUAAAGCGUCAAUGAGGGUGAGAAUCCUGUUUGUCAUGUGCAGCCCUUUGUGCACGGUGUAUAUUUGCUGAGUCACACUCCUUGGCAUUGGAAUGCAAAGUGGGUGGUAAGUUUCAUGUAAAGGUAAACAUGCAAUUGAGACUGAUCGCACACAAGUACCAUGAGGGAAAUAUGAAAAGGACUUUGAAAAGAGAAUUAAAUGAGUUUGUAUUUGCUGAACACAAAGUAAACAGACUUGAUUUGCUUGGUGGGAGUGUUGCACUUGCUUGACAAGAGCUUUGGGCUGUGGGUGUAAUGAUUCUUUCUUUGCAUACCAGUUUCUAUUUGUACAUCUGAUUACCUUUGCACAUGAAUGAUAAGUCUCCUGUGGGGGGUGGAUUGCAUGUGCAUGUAAUGAUUUGUGUUUUGAUAAAUGUGUCUGGUGUAUGUGUGUGUUCCUGUGCUUGGGGAUGCUUCCUUCCUUGGACUUACAAGCCCUGACACACACAUGCUGGCAAAAUGCUUCUGCUUGACCCGUCUUGAAACACGGACCAAGG
rnacentral:rRNA from 1 species